UCCAGCCCUGCAGGCAGGCAGAGCCAGGGGCAAGCUUGUCCGUGCCCCGCAGGCGUGGGGGUAUAGAGGCCUGGCCUGGGCCCGGCUGGCGGCCGAGCAGAUGGCGAAUGGGGAGCUGGAUGAGGAGAGCCUGCAGGAGCUCUACAGCUGGGUGGAUGCCAUCCCCCUGUCCCGCCCCAAGAAGAACAUCACCCGGGACUUCAGCGAUGGAGUUCUAGCAGCAGAAGUGGUGAAAUUUUACUUUCCCAAAAUGGUGGAAAUGCACAAUUAUGUCCCAGCUAAUUCAACGCAACAGAAACUCUCCAACUGGGGCCAUCUUAACAGGAAGGUGCUGAACAAGCUGAAUUUCUCCAUCCCGGAAGACAUGAUCCGGAAGAUCGUACAGUGUACGCCCGGCGUGGUGGAGCUGAUGCUGCUCCCACUGCGGCAGAAAAUUGAGGAGAAGCAGAAGCAGAGCAAGGUGGCAUCUGGCACAUAUCAGGAGCUGGGCACGCGCUAUGGACUCCAUGAGAACGGCCAUAUGGAAACAGGCUAUUCGUCGAACCCAAAGACCAAUGCCGCAGGGGUCCACGUGCAGCAGUCCCCACGAGCGGAAAGGAUGAACAAGGGCCAGCAAGGCUAUGCCCAGGCACCGCCGGGAGACACCAGCUUUCGCAUUCAGUUAGCGGAGAGGGAGCAGGCUCUGCUGGCUUGUCAAGAGACGGUCCAGAUCCUGCAGAUGAAGGUGCGGCGGCUGGAACACCUGCUCCACCUGAAGAACGUUCGGAUUGAUGACCUCACAAGGCGCCUACAGCAAGUGGAGCAGAAAGAGAAAUGAGGCGGGGCUCAGUUUGCCUCCGCGCCCUUCCCUGCGACUCUCACACCCUCAGAACCUCUCCCAGGCACAUCUGGAAGAGCCACCGUUCCUGUGCCUCUCCCACUGCUAGUGACUCCUCCUGGGCUUGGAGAGACUGAGCCGUCCCAAGCAGGACUGGUAGAGUCCAGGUUUGAAUAAUGACACAGGGCUCCCAGUUACUUACAAUCCAAGGGCAAAACUGAGGAAAAAAUAAGGUCUAGAGUCCAAGAGUGAAAAAUGCACAUGCACAAGCACAGGUGGCAAGUGCACAUCUAGAAGUUCACCUGCAGUUGUGCAUGAGGGUGCUGUAAUUGUGUAAGUGCACCGGCGAUUGUGCAUGUAUUUGUUAAUCAUGUUUAUGCAUCUGCAAUCGGCUUUGCAUUCAUUGCAAUUAUGGACAUGGACCUGCAGUUGUGCAUGCACUUAUACAUUGCAAGAAAUGCUAGUGCAAAUGUGCACUCACAAAUGUGCCUGAAGGUGAUCGGGCUGAGGCAGUAUUUCGAGCGCCAGGUUUUCUAUCUAUAACCAAAUCCAGCGACUUUCAUUCAGAAUAUUGACUCCUCUGCUUCCCAAGCUUUAUAGCAGGCCACCCCUUUGCUUGUUCAUUGUUUUCAAGAGCCCCAACCCGCCCCCUUUUGUUCCAUCUGGUGGCUCUUGGGUGACAGCUGAUUGGAGAUGCCUGGGGGAGGAAUGACUCAUUCCCAAGGAUGCUUUUCUAUAGGUGCGAUCCUGGAGCCCUCACUCAGGGACAACUCCCACUGCAGGCUGAGGAUCUGUCUACGCAGCAAAAGCUGGGCACAGGGCAGCCUACCUGAGCCAGCGUGAAUCCAGCUAGCGCAGGUAAUGUAGCCAUGAAGCCAACGCAGCACAGGCUACUGAGCAGAAUGCAUGGCCAGGCUCCAGGCCAGGCAGCACUAUCCAUGCUGAUGCCCCGCCCCCUGCUCUGUCUUCAUUGCUGUUACCCAUGCUAGCCAGCUCGGGUAACUUAGUCCAGGCCAGCUGGUGCUGUGUAGACACACCCUGAGUAAGGCCCUCUGGGAUCAGGCCUUGUGGAGAUCAGUCACCUCCACCCAUUGAUCAGUUUACUCUGGGCUCCAUUUGGAUACAAGCAUGAAAAGACCCUCAGCUCCUGGCUCUCUGCUCCUAACAGUUUGAGGUUCUGCAGCCUGGGGGUGGGGUUCAAAGGCUGGCUGACUAGAAAGGAGCCAUCUCUGCCAUGGUCCUAGGGCUGAUAAUAGCAACUCCGACCAAUAGCAGGGCUGACCAGUCACAGCCACAGAGAAGCCUCCUGCUGGGGAGAUGCUGGCGGCUGCUCUCAGACCCAAAAGCUACAAACUCAGGGCCAGCCCCUCACCUGCUGUAAACAGGAGUAGCUGUACUGAGGUCAAUGGGCCAGGUCCUGGCUGGUGAAAUGGGAGUAGCUGUACUGAGGUCAAUGGGCCAGGUCCCGGCUGGUGAAAUGGGAGUAGCUGUACCGAGCACAAUGGGCCAGGUCCUGGCUGGUGUAAACAGGAGUAGGUGUACGGAGGUCAAUGGGCCAGGUCCCGGCUGGUGUAAACAGGAGUAGCUGUACUGAGGUCUCAGCUGGUGUCAACGGGAGUAGCUGUACUGAGGUCAAUGGGCCAGGCCCCGGCUGGUGUCAACGGGAGUAGCUGUACUGAGGUCAAUGGGCCAGGUCCCCGGAUGGUGUAAACGGGAGUAGCUGUACUGAGGUCAAUGGGCCAGGCCCCGGCUGGUGAAAUGAGAGUAGCUGUACUGAGGUCAAUGGGCCAGGUCCCCGGAUGGUGUAAAUGGGAGUUGCUGUACUGAGGUCAAUGGGCCAGGUCCUGGCUGGUGUAAACGGGAGUAACUGCACUGAAGUCAGUGAAGCGAUGCUGACUUGCAUCAGUGGGGAAUCGCUCUUCUAGCCAGGGAUAGGACUGAGCUGCUGAAGCUGGCCCUGCAUUCUGAACACGUCAGAGCUGGAGGUUGUUUGGAUAUAGAGCUGCAGUUUGGCCCAAAGGGAGCCUGCAUGUAGGUUCAGACUGACACCUCCUGAAAUCCUGAGGUGUGUGGGUCAGAGGCUGGGUUCAGGCCCCACUCUGCUAUCUUCUCUACAGUCAGUGACCUAGCUGCACUAUUGCUUGGCACAACACACUUGCCUUCAGCUUCCUGCAGUCCCGGAGACUUGCCAAAUUCCCACAC